rnacentral:sRNA from 1 species
AGGACCACAGUUCAAUUCCUAACACCUAUGUAAUGGCUUACAACUCUUUCUAACUCCAGUUCCAAGGGAUCUGACACCUCCACAGGCACCAACCGCGCAUGCUAUGGGUGUUUCUCAGGCUGUGAGGUGUUCUCACUGAGGACCGCCGAGGCUAGCAGCCCCUGUAAGAGGCAACCAACAUGAGGGGUCAGCACAUACAUUCUUUCCCUUUUCCUCAAAGGUAGUGUUUCCCUCAGACAACAACCAGCUUCCUGCCUUUAGUUAGUCAGAGGAACGGAGGCAUGGUACUCACAGAGGCUAGCAAGGAGAGAGGGAUCAGCACCCUCCAGGGAUCACGGGGGGGGGGGGGGGGUGAUCACUCCAGGGUAGGAGUUGGAAACCACACUAGAAGGCCUGAGGGAACAAAGACAAGAAAGAUCCCACCCAAUUCCUCCGGACAACGACCUUCCAGACAGGGUCGCUCUUUCAGGGUGGCAACCCGAAAGGUACACCCACUGUAAUUAUCUAGAAUGGUCCCAUCUUUUUUUUUUCCUCUAGGAUUCACUACCACCACCGUGCUGCGGAAGCUUGUUCCUCCUGCCAGCUUGUCCUAGCCUCAAGGGGACUCUAAGCCUCCACCCUCCCCUCUCCUUCCUGGACACGUGGUUUUAUUUUUAACCUGAGUUUACCGGCAGGAUCUGGAAAAGCCAGUUUGAGGCAGCUCCUAAUCUUUCUGCUUCCCUCCCCCACCUGAAGAGUACGUAGCUGGACCGUUCUGGGAGAGGCAGGGGGGCCUGGCCAGCAGGUCUGGGUAAAGGGCAGCCUGUUUGGCCUUGCCAGUUAGAGGACUGAACACUUCUGCCCGGCUCUUCUCUGACGCGCACCCUCCUGCUGGCCCCGGCUGCUCUAGUGGGGUGGGGUGGAGUCAGCCGAACCUUCUGGGCUUUUCUGAUGUAACCUCUCCAGCAGAGGCUGAUUGGCCCAGGGCCUCGUGUAUCACAGGAAGUCUCUGGGCAGAGUGGCCCAAUGCCCUGGUAUUUCAGGCCAGCCUCUGGCACUAGAGACAAGGCAGGCAAGGGCAGGCUACCCAAAAGGCAGAGGAUACACAGACCUAUGGUGCUGGAAGAAGAGAGGCAUCAGAGCAUUUGAAUUUCCUUUUUUUUUUUGGUUCUUUUUUUCCGGAGCUGGGGACCGAACCCAGGGCCUUGCGCUUCCUAGAUCCCAUAUGGAACCUGGGGGUCCCUGAAAGCCUGUGGUCAGUGUUGGAUGACACAAGGGAUGGAUGGUACUGCGAUCCAGCAAAGUCUCUCUAUGUAGCCCUGCCUGGAACUCACUGUGUAGAUCAGGCUGCCUCCUGAGUUCUGAGACUAAAGGAGGCAAUCUCGGCUCCAAAGGAAGACUCGACAGGCCUGAAGAGAUCUGUAGCUUGCUCAGAGCCAGAAUUCGAACUCAGACACCAACCAACACUUAUUUGUUGGAAGACGGCCCCUUGAAGUGUGUUGGAGGAAUGAGAGUGGGGGAGAGGAUUAGAGCGGAAGCAACUGUCUGGGCUGUGCACUCUCACUGUCUGCUGAGAGGGCCACCUCUGCCUUACUACCGGACUCCAGCCUUGUUCCAGGCCAUCAACCAGGGCAGGGCAGGAGGAGAUCCUGCGAAGAGGCCUCAGCAGCAGGUGGGACAGGAGUUGACAGAUUUGGAAGCCACAGGUCCUGACUAAGCUAGUUUCCAUCGACCUGGGCUUGACCUGAACCAUUCAGAACAAAGAAGGAAAUGGUGGAGAUUGCCUAAACAUCCCUCUUGCCCCGGAUUGCUAGAAGGCCGAAGCUGGAGGUGGGAGAAGCAGGUUCAGUCAUACUUCUGUCGGC